GGAAGCCAUAUCUUGGGAAAGUCAAACUGUCCAAAGCGCUCACCGGAAUAACACCACCCACACACUUCAGUCCUCGCGAUAUGGGAAAGUGACUUUGAACAAGUCAAGGAAUCAUACACUUGACAUUUCUAGAAAUUACUAGGUAAUUUGCUAUUUAAUCCUGUAUCCGGGAAGCCUUUGAAAUAGAGUCACUCUAAUGCUUGAGACCCUAACUCAGUUACUCUUCAAAAGAAAAAGGGGUAAGCUAGAGAGGGAAACAUGAAGAGUUACCAGUAAGUGCCGGAGCCCAGCAUUUCCCACCCUUGAGGAACAUACCCCCCUUAAAGGAGAAGAAAAAUUGCCCAGCUCUCUGGUGUCCACUUGUUACUCAAGUAAGUACAAAACCUGAAGCUGAGGAGACUUAUGCUAAUACUUAUUAUACUGAUGUAAAAAACAAAACAAAAUUACAAGUUCAAACAAAAUCACAACUAAAAACCAUUCAAAUUAAAGUCAUUAAUUUUAUGUGAUAAAUGAUAUUGUGUUGCUACACUGAAUUCUGCCCACCUGACUAUGGUGCCGACCGCAGGACGCAGGUUCUUUGAGUUCACCUUAUUUCCUUCUACCAACUUCCACACCAUUUUUUUUCUUUUUUGUUUGUACUAUCAUCAGGGAACAGUUCUGGUGGAGCUGCUUGCGUCACCUCUGCUGUAAACGCAAACUUGGAAGCUGAGAUGACAUGGCAGUACUGGAUUAUAAGAGCAACUGGCCAGGACCCAAACCCAGCAGACCUCUGAACCUCUGUGGCACCAUACCAUGAGAAGCUGGACUGUCCUGGCAUGAUGAUGUUCUUACCUGGAUCUUCUCCUUUCACCCUCUUCUCUUUAAAGAUUCACUGCAGGGUUUGAACAUUUUCAAAAUAAAAGAUAGGAGAAGAGGUAUACAGACAUCUCUUCACAGAGGGCCUGGCACAAGGAAAUAGUUAAUCAACUAUGAUUGUUUGACCUUUGCAUCUACAAAGGGAUGAUUUCAUAAACCAAAAGAAUGACUAUAGAAAAUGGAAUGACAGGCUCUGGCCCGGGAUGGUGGCAGGACUCCGUGUGCUGGGGCCUUCCUGCUCUGCCUGCCCCUCAAGGGGUGAUGACGGUGUCCCUGACACAGAGCGAGAGCUCCUCCUCUCACCUCUGGGAGGAGGACAUCCUGGCUGGCCCAGCCCAGGCCAUCGGCCGUGUUCACAGCCUGGCCUUGAGACUUCUCUGUGGAAGGUAAGAGAUUAGAGCUGGAAAGGACACUUUUAAUCCCAGGCUUGAUGGCUCCAGCCUCCCAGGUGAGGAACUUGGAGAGCAGACGGUACCUUUGUGAGAAUGAGAAAGAGGUGCUCCUUCCUCUGGGAGACCCAGCCCGUGUCCAGGCACUGGCCAUCCAGUCGCACACAGCAGCCCUGAUUAACCCCGUGUAUGUAAUAUUAGCUUCCAUUAAUUGAAUGCCAGGCAUGUUCUGUGACUUAUUUUGAAACCUCACAACUCUUCAGGACAGAUGUUAUUUUGCUCAUUUCAAUUGUGGGGGAAAAGGCUCAGAGGCUUGUUCACUUGGCCCAGCUAGUAAGUGUCUGAGCAAGAGAGCAAGCAUCUGAAUCUAGGACUACUGAGCUCUCAUCCCACUGCCGCUCCCCAGCCUUCUGUUUGUGCAGAGUUUUAUGCCGUGUCGAACUCCGUUCCUCGUGUGGUCUGCAAGUCCCCAUAACUCCACAAGGUAGAGGAGGUAACAAGUGAGGAAACUGAGAGAGAGGGGACUUGCUCCAGAUCAUCAGAGGCACGUGGCACAGUCUGGAAUGUAGGAAUCGGGUCACUCUGUGUCCUUAAGGGACUCCCUCCCAAAUAACCAUUGGAGGCUGUGACCCACCUCCUCCGGAAGCCUGAAUGGGUUAGGAACAAAUGAACACGGCCCCCUUUCACCUCUGCUUUAGGGAAGCCAUUUGACUGUUGAAAGUUCCUCCCUUUGGGGAAUUCACAUGGUCACACUUUGACUCCCAGGCUCCUCUCUCAGUUUUACUUUUCAUGACAUCUGUCUCUCACCUAUGUUCCUGCCAGCCUGCAUGGCACCCCUUCCCUCCUAUAUCUCAGCAAGCCCAGGACCCAGCUCUGCCUCAGCUGCUUCCUCCAUCUCCCAAACCUGUGCUAUUGUUUCCUUAGUGGAACAUCUCUCCUUCCUUCCAGGCUUCUCCUUUUACGAAGCAAUAUGCUAACCACCAGAUAGAUGUUCACUGUGAUUCUUGAUUUCUCUUCCUACAGAAGUUCUUCUUCCUCUAUUCCCCUUGCUGCCCAUCUAUCCAUCCAUGUACUUCCUCAUCCAUCCAUCCAUCCAUCCAACUACUUAUCCAUUUAGCCAUUCAUCCUCCCAUUCAUGUAUGUACACACACACACUUACUCACACAUCUAUCCAUCCAUCCAUCCAUGUAUUCAUCCAUCUAAUCAUCUGACUUUCCACUUAUUCAACCUUUAUUGAGCACCUACUAUGUGCUACAAAUACAAAGAGAAACAAAGUCUGGCCCUUGUCUUUGGGAAACUCCCGGCCUAUAGGGCAGGGGUAGACAAGUAUCACCAUGGGUUGAAAGCUCUCCUAGAAGUAUGCAUUAGGGACCAUGGGAUUUCAGAGGAGGAAGGGGCUAACUGGCCAGUGGCUGAGAAAAGCCUCAGGGAGGGCCAGGCAUCUGAGCUGUGACUCUGAGUCCCCUUCUUUGUUCUCUUCCUCCUCUGUGCCCAUCGCUCCCCCAGUCCUCCAUCUAUUCAUUUUGUUAUCUGUAUGUGCUUGGGCUGAGGGCAGUCUCAGUGGAUUAAAAUCGAAGACUCCGCCCCCAAAGUUGCACAGGUGCUGGCUUUUCCCUCCUGGCUUUCCUGCUUUAGUUAGGCCAGUCUUCUGUUUCAUCUGUCAGAGCAGGUCUCUUUUUAUUGCUGGACACUUGCACCCAGGCACCACACCCCCCACCUUUCAGGGGAUGAGCCUGCCACUGAAUCCAGCAGUUUCUGUAGAAGAGGCUCAUUAUAGCUCCUCUCACUGGGAGGCAGGGAGGGGUGUGUGUGUGAGGGAGGCAUGCCUGGACUUCCAGGGAUCAGCUGGCGCCCAGUUUGGCUUAGCUCCUCAACCGGAAAGCCUUGCCCCAUUCCCCCCACCCCUGCCUAGCCAAACCCACUGUUCUUGGGCCUUCCUCCAGGGAGCCUGUGGCCCUCAGCAGCACUCAGGGGCCAGCCUGGACCCCAGCUCCCAUGGACUCCCCUGUUCUGAUGGCCCCUCUGGUCACAGUGCCUGGACUCUUGGGACUCUGCUGGGGCUCUGGUGGGGGUUUUAGGGGCAGCUCAACUCGCCAGGGCUGCAGAUGCAGAAAUGAUCCAGUGGAUAGUUGAUGACUUCCUGCCCCCUGGGCUGCUGUGAGAUUGAAACCUGGCUCCCUCUAGCUGCAAACAGUCACUGAAGUAGUGGCCCAGCAGGUCUGGGGGCACCGCAGGGCCAGUGGUAGGAGUAAUACAACAGCUUCCUCCUUCCUGAGCUCCUCAAGCCCCUCAUGAUUUUCUGUCCCCCAAGCCCCACCCAAAGGCUGAGGCUGGCAAAGCUUUCCUGCUGGAGGGUUGAGGGGCAGAAGAAGACCUGGCGUGACCUUGGUUCUCCUUAUCUCCUCACAAUGGCACAAUCAGGACUAAUGCUCUGAUUCUCUUUGUUUCUGUGCGGACUCCUGUGCAGAGGGGUCCAGGACCAGGCAGUAUGAAGAGCUCAGUAGGGGGAUUCUGCAGAACACCUGGUGCUCCUGGGCAUGAAGAUCCCUAGAAGCUCCCUUUAGGGGAAUUUUGCUUCCCUCUCAGGCUGCCUCUGGCAUUUAAGUCCAGCUGGAUGAUAAUGUUGGGAGGAAGCCUAGACUGUAUCCCCUGGGAAGUCUGGGGCUCCAGCAGCCAGACUCAAUUUUGGGGUGAAUCUGCUCUCAGCUGAAAGGAUGUGAGCCUAUGAGAGAUGGGAGCUAAGCUAAGGUGAUCACCAAUAUCCACCCAAUUAAUGACAGUGACACAAACCAAAGAUAAUCAAAACCUGCAGUGAGUUGGGUAAACUGCAAAGAAAACAUCCUGAAAAUGACAGUAUGGGCAUUUGGGCAUGAUGAUGGUACAUGUCUUCCAAAGCCCAAAAAAAGAGCAGGGUCAGCAGUCCUGCUAUAAAACCAAGGAAUGGCCAUGGGGAAGAGUUUAGUUCAAGAUCCCCCAGACAUCUAGAGGCUCUUGCUAGGCCAACAGCUGUUUUCUGUUUGUUGAAAAGGUCGUUAUGUCAACAGAACCUAUGGGACCAGUGCCCGUAAGCUGGAGUAGCCAAAUUGAGUCUGUGAGGCAGCCGGGGAGGUGCCCUGCUCACAUCUCCUUUCAAGAGAACCUGCUGUGAGAAGUGUUAUUGGCGGAUAGUCCCCAGCCGUUGCACCUUUCAGUCUGCUUCAAUGUUCAUGUCCCCCCAUUUCUGUCCAGUGGAGGACUCCUCCAAUAGGCAACCUUUGCCGCUAGCCUUGCUGAGAUUUUUAGAGCUGCACUGUAAUCUGAGACUCUUCCCACCCAAUUCUUCCUUCCCGCUCUCCUUUCACAAGUGUCAGGAGACACUUCCUGCCUAUUCCUGCUCCCUUCUCCCUUUAUCCUUCACAGCUGUUUUCUCCUAUAAAUCUAUUUUAUUUUAUUUUGGGGUGCGUUGGGUCUUCGUUGCAGUCUUAACCACUGCGCCACCAGGGAAGCCCCUCUUCUGUAAAUCUCUUGCACGUCUAAUUCUGCCUUGGCAUCUGCUUCUUGGAAGACCCGACUGAACAUCUACUAUAUUCAUGGUCUAGGGCUUCCCUGGUGGCACAGUGGUCGAGAAUCCGCCUGCCAAUGCAGGGGACACGGGUUCGAUCCCUGGUCCAGGAAGA